GGAUAGCUCAGUUGGCAGAGCAUGAGACUCUUAAUCUCAGGGUCAUAGUCGAGCCUCACAUUGGGCA